rnacentral:rRNA from 1 species
GAUGAACGCUGGCGGCGUGCCUAAUACAUGCAAGUCGAGCGAACAGACGAGGAGCUUGCUCCUCUGACGUUAGCGGCGGACGGGUGAGUAACACGUGGAUAACCUACCUAUAAGACUGGGAUCACCUCGGGAAACCGGAGCUAAUACCGGAUAAUAUAUUGAACCGCAUGGUUCAAUAGUGAAAGACGGUUUUGCUGUCACUUAUAGAUGGAUCCGCGCCGCAUUAGCUAGUUGGUAAGGUAACGGCUUACCAAGGCAACGAUGCGUAGCCGACCUGAGAGGGUGGUCGGCCACCCUGGAACUGAGACAGGGUCCAGACUCCUACGGGAGGCAGCAGUAGGGAACCUGCCGCAAUGGGCGAAAGCCUGGCGGAGCAGCGGCGCGUGAGUGAUGAAGGUCUUCGGAUCGUAAAACUCUGUUAUGAGGGAAGAACAAAUGUGUAAGUAACUAUGCACGUCUUGACGGUACCUAAUCAGAAAGCCACGGCUAACUACGUG